UAAAGGUGCAUCAGGGAAUGCUGCACUCUCAGGGCCUUGUCCAGGGCUCUGUAGUUAUAUUUGAAUAGGUCUCUAUAUAGUGCUGGAAUCUCUUGAAGGACUCCUGACGCUGCAGAGUGGAGUCCUGCAGUUGCUGUGAUGAUGUUGUGUCUUUGACAUCACUGGUGCUCUGAUCCAAGCUGCUCUGAGUGCUGAGAUAAUUGUGUUUGCAUCACUGAGCAGCUGCUGUCAGGUGUCUGCAUCAGCUUUAGCAUGGGUUUGCCUCUGAAUAUUUUCAGCUGUUCCUCGAGCUGCUGCGCUUCCUGUUGAAGCUUGGUCUCUCGUUCUCACUCAGCCUGCUGCUGCACAUAUAAACGUUCACAAGACAUCAACUGGGCUGUUGCACCUCCCAGUAUCUUCUCUGCGGGUGAGGAGAUAUCAGGUGGCACUCGUGGCAUUGGCUUCAAUAGACCUCAGAAAGUGAGUCCACCUGGACCAACCAGUAUCCUUGAGCCACAGUCAUUUCAGCAGCAACAAGCAAGGAAUGACAACUGGCAUGACGUUCACUACAUCAGAUACCACGUCUCCAAUAACCCCGGUCCUGCACAGAAGACUGAGACCUUUGCAGUCCCCCAGAGCUUUGAGGACCCCAGGCCACCUGUGAUGGCUCCCUAUGGACAAGGUGGUGCAACAGGUGGCGUAUCUGCUCCUUCUCAUGGCAGCUUCAUGCAGCACUGGCAGCGGUAUGAAGUACCAAUUUAUAGCCAAACUGGUGGAUACAACCUGAGCAAGGGCCAUGGGUACUAAGUGGUGGAUCUCAUCAGCAUGAGCAAAGCUCUCUGAAUUCAAUAAAGAUCUUGUCGAAUA